rnacentral:pre_miRNA from 1 species
CAAGUACUCCCUCCGCCCGGAAUUACUUGUCAUCAAAAUGGAUGUGUCUAGAACUAAAAUACAUCUAGAUACAUCCAUUUCAAUGACAAGUAUUUUCAGACGGAGGGAGUACAAG